CCAAACGUUUUCAAUGGAAACUUGUAAGGUGACUUGUUAUUUAAACCACUGUGGCGUGUUUCGAGCUUUUUAAGUAUUUCAAAAGUUGUGUUUUGUGUCUUUUUAGCAUGGUUGGGCUUAUAUAGAAUAUUUCUGUAUUGAAAAUCGUGGAUAAUACUGUUUUAUUGUUGAGCUAUUGUAGCGGAUUCUUUUCACAUCUUUCUACCAAUGAAUCGAUGCUACAAAGUUGGUCGUCAAACUUAUUAUCUGCUUUGAAGGCUGCGUGAAAACUUGUAAGAUUUGUUUGGAAAUUAAUAUUUAUUUAUGGUAUACACACCUAUAUACGUUUUUUGCAAUAUUUCAUAUUUUAUGAGGUAGUUUUAUGUACGAAUUACUAUUUGUAAUUUACACUCUCAGGAUAACGCAUUUGAGAGGUGUGUCGACAUGUUAUAACUAUUUUAUAUUAUGUUUAAUUAAAGUGAAUGUGUAUACUUCUAUCUAUCUGGAGUUAUAACAGUAAAGGCAGACGCUAGAUACGAUAUCAAUAACACAGAUCAGGUUUAUGUAUCUUGUCCCAAUGAAAUAGAGGGUAACAGAAGGAGACAAGCGUCUACUGAAUAUGAAUAGAAUAAAUUUCAACGGGUGAGUGACCCAGUCCAUGACAUGUGACCUCGUUGCUAUUGGACACCUUGCAGAUGGAGAUACACAAGUUUGUCAACUUGCAGAAGUCUCAGACCAAUAUGGCGGCUAGUUGAUUGGAUAUAUUCGAAUAAUAUUUGGAAUUAUCUUCAAAAAGUCUCACAACCAUUAUGGCAGCUAACGGAUUACAUAAUUCUAAUUGAUUGUGUUCGAAUUCUUUGGAAUAUUACGAUGCAGUGCAUUUUUGUGAUGGAACAUAUAUUAUGUGUUGUGUCUAUUCGCUUGGAUUUAAGAAAAUGGAUUUAGCAAUAAUAAGUAUCUCACCCAGCAGCUACACAUCAAACAGUUGUUUGAGUACACCACUGUAAUAUGGAGAGAGUUAGACAAGAAAUGGCUUUGUUCUAAAAAAGAAAAGGUCAAAUUGCUUCAUCUGGAUGUACAAAAUUGCGGAGCAUCCGUAUGAUUUUCGGAGUGUUGUCUAUAAUAGUAUAAAAAUUUGCGGAUAUAUUUCGGAGUAUAUCGCUGGAAAUUGUUAUUGAAGACGUCGAAAUUUAGGGAUUUCAAAAUUUCAGUACGACGUGUAAAUUGUGUCAUUUUGUUUAUGUUACUGUAGCUUAAUCUCGAAUUUCUGAAUUAAUUCAUUAAAAUGUGACAAUGGAUAUAAAUUCUCUGGAUGUGUUCGAAGCUGUUAGAAAUCUGGAUUUAGGAAGAAUAUUUGUGGAUAUACUGUUUAUAUAUCGGAUAUAAAGCAAACCAUAAGAAAAUACACCCAUGCAGCCUUUACCGUGACCUAGAUUCCGUGAGUAAAAUGUCAUUUUUCUAAUAAUUAUUUCAGAUGAAAUCAGUUGUUUCAAAUGAAGGGCGGUGUUAACAUUUAUGGAAAUUGAUCAGUUUAUUUGUAACCUUAUAGUAAUUGUACUGUCUCCAUGUCUUAAUGUCGUAGCAGUCAAAUUGACGAGGAUUGGAAUCAAUAAAGACAAUGAAAAGAUGCUAAAACAAUGAUUAGGUUUCGGCUCAUUAGAGCUUCGUUGGGGUAAUUAAGUUGUUCGGCGGCAAUACUGGUUGUCGAUGUCAAUAACGGGAGAUUUGAUUGGAUCAAAACGAGUAAAGUGGAUUACAACUGCUGAAACAUCAAGGAAGUGUUUGGAAAAGAUGAACUUCGAUGAAAAUCAGUUGAGAGAAUUUGCCCUGAUUAGUAAAAUAUCUUACAUGUUUCCAUUUUUACAAGUGUUCUGAAAUAGGAUAAUGAUUUUCAUUAAAACAAUAUCUCGCAUACUUAUCUUCUGUUGUUCUAAUAUUUCAUUAUUUGAAGUAACGCUAUUGACAUUUGACGUUCAAAAAUAUAGUGGUAUGAGCAGCCACAUAGCACAUACAUUGGCAAUAAUGCGGGCUUGUGCACACGAGUAUAGAACAUGUACACCCGGCAGGCAUGAAACUGUCACAUGACACAGUCAGUACGAAACAACCAUAUGGCACAAAAAUAGCCCCAUGAUACGAAAGUAGUAUAAAUGCACAUUCUGUCUUUAGAAGGAAAACUCGAUUUCCCAUAGUUUUUGGUUAUUUUUAGGCGUACGUCCAUUCAUACCGACUAACCAUAGUUAGCAUUGCUUUAUCUCAGUAACGAUCACCUAUCUAUAUACAGAUACGGUGCCAUGGUGAAAUAAUACACCCUUCCUCUCCGACUUCCAAGCGACAAAACGUGGCUAAUUCAUUCAACUUAAUAACAGGAAGAGGUCCUUCAACAGUUUUCAUAUACAAUAAAAUUUAAGGUUUUGUUUUUCGAGGUACUCAUCGCUAUGUGGUCGUGAAUUUACAAAUUUAAUGCAAGUUGUUAUUCGGGUAGAGGAGUAAACGGCAGCCUGUGAAUGUUUACAGUAACAGCAGUGUGGGGACACUUGCUAACGAUACAUUUAGUUAAUUAUGUUUUAAUGAUCUUUACAUAGUUUAAUGGGUAGUAUUUUAAAGUCAUUUCACAUUACAUUAACCUUCUAAACGUGAUGCCUAUC